rnacentral:rRNA from 1 species
UACGGAGGAGGCAAGCGUUAUCCGGAAUUAUUGGGCGUAAAGCGUCCGCAGGUGGCACUUCAAGUCUGUCGUCAAAGACUGGGGCUUAACCCUGGAAAGGCGGUGGAAACUGAAGCGCUAGAGUGCGGUAGAGGUAGGCGGAAUUCCGGGUGGAGUGGUGAAAUGCGUAGAGAUCCGGAGGAACACCAGAGGCGAAGGCGGCCUACUGGGCUGCACCUGACGCUGAGCCGCGAAAGCCAGGGGAGCGAACGGG